rnacentral:ncRNA from 1 species
AAACUCCGCUCCGAACAACUGGACAAGCGAUGAAGCAUUGUUCGGAGC